UUUUCUUUGGUGUGAUUGAAGUUUAUUUCCUUCACGAAAUAAGGACAAUAAAAGCUUAUGCAUCAACUUAUUCGAUACCAUUUCCUAUUGUCUGAAGUAUAAUCAAUCACCCCUUUUGUUGUUGCUAGCAAGACCCAAUAUUCCCAUUAACUUUUGCAUAAAAUGAUAUGUCUCGCACAUGGUGUUAUACUUGUGCAGCUCCCAAGCCAAGACUAUUGCCUUUGCUUCAAUAUUUCAGUUACUUUCCCUGCAUAUUCCGUUCCAAUUUUUUCUGUUUUCACGAUAACAUAUUUAACUUUAGCAGCUUCUUCCACAACAUAGGUUGCUAGACUCUUGCUUUGUUCUUGAACACUUUAUUUUGCAAUUGAAUCUAUCUCCCCAGGGGAAGGAGUUAUUGUUUCACCAAUUGUAGUGAUCUUCUCCUUAAUCUUCCAUGUUCUGGGACAACAAAGAACGAAAGGAGAAAAAAUAAUGCAUACUCUAUCCAGAGAAAAAAAAAUUAUUUGAAGGUUGAACAAAAAUAUACCUAUUAUAUAAAACUGAUUAAAAAUAUUCGUGAAGGAAUAAUGGUAUCAUAUACCGGUAUCAUAAUUGUCCUUGAACACGAGAUACUUGAACCAAUUUUUAUUGCUUGCUUCAGUUUUUUAAUCCACCUCGCACCAAAGCAGCCAAAGACCCAAUUACAAUCUCACACACAUAUUUCGAACCACUUGACUCCCUUAGCAACACAAUGUCGAACAAAAUUGAGCUUCACUUUGGAGUCUAUAAUUAUUUGUAAGCUUUCGCUACGUAUAAAUUUAU
rnacentral:lncRNA from 1 species